GCAUGGGUGGCAGAGUAGCUAUGCAGCGGACUGCAAAUCCGCGGACCUGGGUGCAAAUCCCGGCCUGUGCU
rnacentral:tRNA from 1 species